AAGCGACCAAUCCAAAGCGCCGGAAGACGGGGUGAGAGCCGGCCGCGUGGGACUAGCGCAGGACGCUGUCAGACGUCCCCUAGAGGCGCUCCGGGCCUGCCCAUUUGU
rnacentral:sRNA from 1 species